rnacentral:tmRNA from 1 species
GGGGGCGACCUGGCUUCGACGUGGGUUGCAAAACCGGAAGUGCAUGCCGAGAAUGAGAUCUCUCGUAAAUAAGACUCAAUUAAAUAUAAAUGCAAACGAUGAAAACUUUGCUGGUGGUGAAGCUAUCGCUGCCUAAUAAGCACGAUUAGAUAAACCCCAAUCGUGUACUGGCCAAAAACCCAGUAUCCCGUUGACCGAGCUCGCUUAUCGGUAUCGAAUCAACGGUCAUAGAAGAUAAGCUAGUACUUUAAUCUAUCCUGGGUUAUGGUGCGAAAUUUAGGGAAUCGCUGUGUAUCAUCCUGCCCGUCGGAGGAGCCACAGUUAAAUUUAAUAGACAAGGCUAAGCAUGUAGAGCUAAAGGCAGAGGACUUGCGGACGCGGUUCGAUUCCCGCCGCCUCCACCA